CUUAAGUGUUUGUGAUUGACACUGAGAUAAUAUUCAAUGAGGAAUUGUAACAUAUGUAACACGUGCUUUGAUGUUUAAAGUGUCCUCUCUCAAAGCAGCAGCAUAACUGGUGGCUAUUAGUGAUUAUUAAAGACAUGGAUAUGUUACUAAUCAGGCAACUAAGUUGCCAGGCCAAAUUCUAAAUCUGUAAUUAUAUUGGGCCUCCUUAAAACCAGGAGGCAUGCUUGUACUAUUUCUGUCUAAAAUCACUGUAUCUGAUAAAACCAAUUAAUAUGGUUAUUUUUCUUAAUUUUCUUUUUCUGUGGCCCAGGACAGAAAAAAGCCGAAUGCUUAAUUUUUGACGCUUUAUUAUGCAAAUGAAACAAUUCUUCCAUUUUCUUUUGAAAAUUUCACCUUCUAAGUUUUCAGGACAGUUUUAGAUUUGAAGUUGCUUUAUUUUGUCACUUCAAGUCAUGUCAUGUUGCCAGUAAAAACUGGCUUUGUGUGCAUGUCUGCUAUAUUAGUUUGCUUACAGCUCAGGUAUUUCUGUGGUUUUGCUGCAGCCAAUAAUGGAUUACGACUGACAAGAGCUGUUUAUUUGAGUGACAAGCGUGUGUUGUUUUGUCUCUGUUUUUAAAUGAGUAGAUUUUUCUCAUACUGAAAAUAACAGGUAGCUAUCCAUAGUAAAGUUUCUUUAGCAAAUAGUGAAAACCAGUAACGUUUGUCUGUGCCUGUUCUGGAGUUUUUGAAGCCUGAUUUUGAUAGAUCACAAACAUUGUGAAAUCAUGCUGAUAAAAUACUUGUUUAGCGUGAUGUCUCUUGAAACUUGCCCAGAAAAAGCCUUUGUCAUUUUUGAUUUGUGAAAGCAAGGACAACCACAUUCUUGAAAGACGUAUAAUAGUAGCAUCUCCUUGCUACCAUCAUGAACCAAAUUUAGAUGAUGCUCUGGAGGUAAAAUGUUUCCAUUUCCCUUUGAUCUCAGUUGCUGUAGCCAUACUGGUGCAGCGACAUAUAAUAGUAACCACAAUAAUGAACCUAGACCUGAGUGAAGCUGACUGCAGACAGCUAAUUUAACAAUUACAAAAAAGUUUUGAGGAUUUUGUAAGAGCAAUGCAAAAAGAGCUGAGGAUAGAAAGGAGCUGGAUAGCAGUGGGUAUUGUAUUUGUCAUUGGUUGCCAGUUAUGCCAUUAGCUGAGUGGUGUGGACAUCAACAUCACAGAGUAGUAUUCUCUGUCACUGACAACACUGAAACUGCAACCAUAUUGCAAGUCUACAACUGUAGUUCAGUUCACUUCAAUGGUCAUGAUAAGGAAACAUUUUUUCCACAUGGAAGAAAAAUGUGUUCCUGUUUAUUCAUAAACAGUGAAGUCUGGAAAUAAUAUUUUAUCAUAAAUUUUAGUGAUUAAAAAAAAAAAAGAUUAAAAGCAAGACUGACUUGUUGGGAACUAAAUUUCCAUUAAUCCUUUUUGUUUCUUUAGAACAAAGCCAUAAGGAGACUUAUUUAUGAUGGAAGAAAGAGUUUAGGCGGCACUUUUGAUUAUGGUCAAAUGAACAGAUAUUCAUGGGAUGUCUGUUGAUUGUACCAUGUUGCUUCUGCCCUCUGAUGCAAGUCUCUAGUAGCAUCACUGUUAAUUUCACAAUGCUCUCCUAGAUGGUUUUGGAUUGACUAAGGAUUUAUAUAAUCUGAAGAGUAUAACAAUGGUUUUGGGGGUAAGACUGUCAAAAGGACUUCAUGUCUCUCCUUUUCCUAUUGUUUCAGCAUUACUUGAUUCUGUGACCAACAUGUAAUUUUCUGCACCGGAAAACAAGAAAGAAACAGCAGUUGUUGACAAAUAAGCCAUGCCUGCUGCAGCUGAUGUAACUGCGGGGGACCUGCCUGUAAGACAUACAGGUCUAACUCCAGCUGGAAUUGAAGGAUUACAAGGAAAGAUUAAACAAUCCAGAAAAAGAGAAUGAACUCCUGAAGAAAAACUAUCAUAAGCUGCGUAAGUGUCUUCUGUAUGACCCAUGGGCAGCAAUGGAAAUCAAAGGAACAGCAAAUGAAACUGCAAAUUGCUAAACUAGAGAUGGCUAUCAAAUCUGAUUUAGCAGACAAAAAUGCAAUCCUUGACAAGAUCAAAGUAGAAAGAGCAUACGGGACAGAAGGUUAAACAAGAAAGGCUAGCAGACGAUAAGGUGGAGAUGGCUGAAGAAAUUUAACAGGAGACAGAAAAGCUCUCACAUCUGUCAGAGGAGCAGUUAGCUGACCAAACAUCAAUUACUUCUGGAAAUGAGAGAGAAAUAACUGAAGAAUUGGAACCAGAAGGAAGUUGAAAAAUCUGGAUUAAAAUUACAUCACUUGGUUUUAUAAAGUCAUGAAUUACAUCAGAUGAAAUAAUACAGCAGCUGAGUGUAGAAUGCAGAUGAAACAAUUUCCCUGCAGAGGACACUCCACUGUCACUUCCAAACCCAACAGAUAAAUUAGCAAAGGAAAAUAACUAGCCAGUGUGUUGAUAUUUCUCCUAUAAAUAUUUGGAUUAUUUUUAAUAAUUAUUUUACCAGCCUAAGGUGAAAGUAAGUGCUCAGUGACACCCCAGAAGAUGAGCAGGAACUUGAAUGUAAAGAUACUGAUUUUGUUGAAUCUGUUUGAAAAAGAUAUUCCAGAAGCAAAGAAAUACCAUUGAACAAGACAUUGAUGAAGAGCAUGUUACUGUAUUUUCUUGGACAAAUUUAUUGGAAAAGGAUGCGUUCUCAAGAUCUGGACAUCUACUUCAAUUAAAUGUAAUGGCAUGAUAAAUAGAAUUCCUGAGUAAUAUGUACACAUUCUCUGAGAUGGAUAUUGGUUUGAGGGAAAAGAAAUAAACUUCGACACAGAAAAAUUCAUAGGACAGGACCACAUGGAGAUGUAGUCAUUCUCAGAUACCAUGAGCUUCAUUCACUUUAUUUGAGGACUGCAACCAUGGGUCUUUUUCAUGUCUUGUUCCUUUCAUUGCUGAUUGUAUGGAAGUGGCCUCUAUGAAAUUUGAAGCAACUAAAUGCAUGACUAAGCAACAGGAUGUCAAGACAUCUAACAACAGGCCUCAGAGAUAAUAUGACAAUAUGAAAACUGAUAAAAUAAUGUUUUGAUAUCAUUAAUUAUAGCUAUCCUGCUGUUCUUACAGUAAAAACAAUACUGUCCUCUGAAGUCUGCACUGAAGUUGAUAUCUCACUGAAUUACUUGUUCAGAAUAUACAAAAUGCUUUGGAUCUCUAAGAAUAGCAUCCAGUCUGUCCUAUAGUAGGUCUUUCAGCAGGGUAAGUGAUGGAAGGUUUAUCCCAUAUUUUCCCUUCUCUAAACCACUUCUGUGUGUCCCGGCAGCGUAGAAGUUGCAACAUGAAGCAUCAUUGCAUGUCCCAAAGUACUUAUCCUGAUUAAAAACGUAAAUACAUAACCUUGCUAUUUGUCAGCUGUGUAAUUUGCUUUGAAAAGAUAUGCUGUCAAGAUUAUUUGUUUUUAUUCAAAUUCCUUCUAUAGUCAUGUUCAGCAGCCUCAUUGCUUUUUGUGCAGGACUGGGAAAGAGUCUCAUUUUUGACUUAGCAGCAUGUUUUAAUCACAGCAGCAGAGAUUCUGGCCCUCUGGGCUUACUUAGAUAUUGUAAAGGAGUGCAAUUUUAAAUCAUGUCAGCUAAUUUCUGUAACAUAGAAAUUUUAAAUACUACUUUAAAACCCACAUACACAAAGAUGAAGGUACUUAGUUUAGUCUAGGGAAAUUAUCUUCUUUGCUCAUGCUUCACUAUUUUACAAUACACAGAAGCUUGGAAUUUAAAUAAUUUUGCAUUGCACAUACUGGAAAGAACAACUUGCUAUUUAUGUACUAAUAAUUGUCCAGGCUGACUUGGAUCCAUCAUGUACACAGUAUGGAAAAUGCAUUAAUUGGUAUAUAUUUUACUUAAAAUUAUUUCUGCCUAUGCAUAAAUGUUUUCAAUGUAACUUUGAACACCUUUAUUUACACAUUGGGAAAAACUAUUAAUUUAUAUAGGCAAUUAUUAUACAAAUAAUUUUCUUAAUUUCAGAGUUAAUUCCAGCCCUGAUACUUUCAUUAAUCUACAUUCUAGUUCUUAGAGUGCUCAGUUUCCAGUAGGCUGAGUACCUGAAAAGCAAGAUUUCUUUUUUUCUUUAUUAUUUAUUUACCUCUCCCCCCCCGCUUUUUUUUUAACAUAUACUAGGAGCCUUUUAAUCUGUCCAAAUACUAAAGAAGAUUAUGAGAACAAAAGUGAAACCUUAAAUGAAAUUGCUAAUGCUGUUUUGUAAUGUCUCCUCUCUAGUUUUUGAUUCACAAGAUGAUAGUGCAGUAAUUGGAAAGCUCAAAGGAGCAGUGGAAGCCCUCCAUGCGCUGCCCUCAGUUGAGAGGGGAAUGCAAAGAUGACUACGAGGCAUGAAAGGAAGUUUGCCUACAGAAGAUCCUUCUCCCAGUGUAAAUACAUGCUUGAUAGUGCAUCAAAGAUGAGAUCUUUGUAAUUCCUACAGUAUAUUUAAUGUAUAAUUUAUAUGAAAAGGACGCUUGAUUUGUAGUUGUAAAGUUUUGUAUACUUUUCAGUCUGUUUGUUUUUAUAUUCCCCCCCUAAGGCUAAGAAUAUCUCCACAAUGGACAACGCCUUGUAAAUAAUUAAUACCUACAUGAUUGAACGAUGUGCUUUAUUUGCAUUUUUAAGAUUUUUUCCUACAUAAAACAGUAAUAAAAAUGCAAGUCAAAAUUUUAAUUUUUAAUAAAAAAACCAUAAGCCUUAGAAAACUGAUUAAAAAUACUUUUAUGUUAUCCCUAAUCACCCCACUAAAUGGAAUGCCUGUGAUUAGCCUCAUUAAGAAUUUUAUACUGUGAAGAUUUUAUUAAAAGCAAUAUAUGAAAAUUACUUGGAUUAAUGUGUUAAUCUGCCUCUUUAAAAUGCUAAUAUCCAUUUUAUGCACAUUAAAUCUCAGUAUGUGUUUUCUUUGAUGCAUGCAGUUCCUAUCAAUUAAAUAUAAAAAAUUAGGCUAGUUGCAGGACUUAUUAAAUUACUGCAACCUUUUUUUAAAUAACUUUUACCCUUCUACUAACAUUAUAAUCAGCUGUUUAUGGUUACCAUAAUUUGAAGUAGGGGGAGGGCAGGCACAAUCAUUUUCUGUACAGUACUUGAUUUACUUGCAGCCAGCAUCUGUCAAAGCACAAAAAGAAGCCAUAGAGUAUCAGAUUUUGCUUCACCUACUUUGGGCUUUAGGGAUGGGCAACUGUUUUCAUUUGGGUUUUGUCACGUUUAGAACUUACAUCAAACACAUACAAUAAAUUGUUGUAUCUGAAUAACUACUGUCUAGUGUGGAAAGUUAAUUUUACAGCUUUUAACCAAUCUCAGUGAAGGAUUUAAUUGAUAUUUUUAAUGGAGCUGUGAAUCAAUGCUGCAAAAGGAUUGUCUCUUGAGAACGAGGAUAUAAUACAUUUCAUUUUUUAAUUUACUUUUUUAUUUGUCAUUUUCUUCAAAGGAUUUUAUAGACUGUGGAUUUCUACUGUUUGCAAACAGGCUAUGUUUCUUCAUAAGCAUAUGUAAAGUAUUCAGAGAGAUAAGUAAUUUAUUAAAAUCUACCUAAUUUGCCGUGAUAUAUUAAAUCUCUGCUUCAGUGAUCACAGACCAUUUCAUUUAGAGAAUUAGGCAUUCCCUCUUUGUGUGAUUAAAGCUCUGGAAAAUGAGUUCUUUGCUCCUAUUUGUGAACAUUCAAAGCCUGCUAAUGGCAAGAAGAUGGAAUAGAUUAUGAGACAAUUCAUUACAGUUCAACAGAAAAAAAACUCUGCUAUAAUGCAGAAAUGCAAGUAUGAAUAUCUGCAUAUAGUUUGAACCAUCUGUGCUCUAAUGGCUUCAGUAAUGGCUGUUCAUCUUCAGUAGGCUUUGAAAUGACAUCCAUACAAUAUUAAUUUGUUGAUGUACAUUAUGAGGCCAAUGGAAUGAAUAUAUUCUGACCACAGAAAUCUCUGAAUUCCAGCAUGGUCUGCUGGUUGACUCCAUUUUAGGACCUACCAUCUUCAGUAGUACUCCUCAUCCACACUUUGCCAAUCCUUACAGCGUUUCAUUCCUCUGGAACUUUAGGAGACCACAGACAGCUGCAUUCCUAAACCCCUCCAUUCUUCAGUUAAUGGCCAUAUGUUUGUUGUCAUUUGGGCUGGCACUUAGUUCAUCAUUUUGGCCACUAUUUCUAGCUUUUUUUGGCUCUGUGCAUCUAUAUUGUCAAUAAGACUGUUAUUAUACAUUACAAUAAUUUGAAACAGCCAGAUCCAACACUGAGAUUAACUGAGUGGCUUUUUAGAAAUUUAGUUGUGGUAUUCUGUCAGGAGGUUCUUAUUAUUCUUCUAAUACUUUGCAAACCAAACUAAAUAUCCUGCACAUAAACAAAGAAGCGAAUUAUAUUGAGUUUUUGUGUGUGACUGUUUACUGACUUGCAGGAGAACUAUGUUAACUGGUGCUUGUUUUCUUCUGAAAUAAACCAUGUGGUAAAAUUAGAAAAUCAGUGAUGUUCAUCUCAGUUAAACAUUUACAGUAACACCCUUAACACUUAAUCUUCACCAUCUGAAGUUAGAAAUUUAGAAACCAAGCGUUCAUAUAUUCAUUAAACACAGAUCUCUUCACUAAGUUACUGCAAAAUAUUCCAGUUAACAUUUGGUUACAUUGUGUUAACUGUUCUCAGUGACUCCACCAUUAACAUGUAUAAUUUACCUCAGGUUCCCAAACAUAUUUCUUCAUAAGGCUCACUGUUACCUCAGUUUUGGAUUUUAAAAAAAUAAUCCUGAUUUCUAUUCAUGUUUAUUUAUGCUAAAACAGAUAUAAUAUUCAGCAAGGAUUUUCCCAACAGAUGGAUUGUAUUAUCUUAUGCAACAUAAACAUGCGAUCAUACCAGAAAAUUUUGUUCUUGCAUUAAGUACUCUGUAUUUCCAAAAUGAUCUUAAAUCUUAAUUCUAGAUGCUACAUUGUGCAGGGAAAGUGGAAAAUGUAACCUAAUACUAUUUUGUCUAAAUUUUAGCAAUGAAUAGCUUGAAGAAAACUUACAUCUAUGUAAUCUCUAGGCUAAGGUGCAAAGGAGCCAUAUUAAAGUUGGGUACUACCAUGUUUUAAAAUGUUACUCAAUUAACAUUCAAUUUUUGUGGAAUAGAUGAAUUUUUACUAUGGUGUAACUUAGUCACCACAGUGAUUCUGCAUAAGAUGAAAUGACAGUGUCAAGUAAUCAGUUUUGUUAUUAUAUCUUUUCCCAUUUAUUGUUACAAUUUAUUAUGAUAUUUUCUGGUGUGAUAUGAUAACUGCUGUUGUCCUGGUUCCCAGCAGUGUUGAUCAA